rfam:Oryza sativa (indica cultivar-group) chromosome 11, whole genome shotgun sequence.
AAAAAGACAAACCCUAGAUUUGCGUGUCCAACUUUGUCUGUCCGUCUUAUAUGAAAUUUUUUUUAUAAUUCGUAUUUUUAUUGUUGCUAGAUGAUAAAACAUGAUUAAUACUUUGUGCGUGACUUGUCUUUUUAUUUUUUUUCAUAAUUAUUUCAAAUAAGACGGACGGUCAAAAAUUGGGCACGGAAACCAGGGUUUGUCUUUAUU